UACGGAGGGGGCUAGCGUUGUUCGGAAUUACUGGGCGUAAAGCGCACGUAGGCGGCUUUGUAAGUUAGAGGUGAAAGCCCGGGGCUCAACUCCGGAAUUGCCUUUAAGACUGCAUCGCUAGAAUUGUGGAGAGGUAAGUGGAAUUCCGAGUGUAGAGGUGAAAUUCGUAGAUAUUCGGAAGAACACCGGUGGCGAAGGCAGGUCUCUGGGCCGAUACUGACGCUGAGGAGCGAAAGCGUGGGGAGCGAACAGG
rnacentral:rRNA from 1 species